CUUUAAUUGAACAUAAGUAUAUCUUAAUACAUAAAAAUACUGAAAAAAUUGAGUAUAAUGAUACUAAAUUUCAAAACUGUUAAUUUUAAUUAUAAAAGCCAUAAAUAUAAUUAUCUUUUUUCUGAAUCUUUUAUUGGGAAAAUGAAUCAAAGUUGUCUGACAAACGUUAAACAUUUUAAUAACAUCCUUCUAUAUCUCGUUAAUGAGCUAAUGAAAUUUCUUCUUUUUAAAAAACAAAAAGACGAGAGCAAAAAAGAAGAAAGGAUCAAUUAAAUCGAAGCGUAAGACAGAGCAAUAGAGUAUUUAUUUAUGUAUAUAUUUGCAUUUAUAAAACAAUUUGAAAAAGUAGAUAUGAUGGGAAAGCUGUUACAAGGAAAUGCACCAGAAAUCAUCAAUGAGAAUAAUACUUUGAUGAGUAAAAUGAUGAAAUGUGCGCCUACAGAUAUAAAAUCGUCUGUCAAAAACGUAGAUAAAUCAACAUCUAUUCAGAAAAUUUAUGAUCAUCUAAAUAUUAUCAUUACUGGUGAAACAGGUUUCAUCGGGAAGUUAUUAAUAGAGAAAUUGUUAAGAGUAUGCCCAGGUAUCAUUUGCAUUUACGUUUGGAAACGUACUAAAAAAGGAAAAAAUCUACUCCAACGAAUAGACGAACUUGUCGAAGAUUCCUUAUUUGCCACGUUAAGGGAAGAGCAACCAAAAUUCCAAAAUCGCAUAAUCCCAAUCGAGGGCGAUUGCAGUUUCCCGAAUCUCGGUAUCUCCAAAACUGAUAGAAAUACACUCAUACGCGAAGUAUCAAUUGUUUUUAAUGUCGCCGCAACCGUGAAGUUUAAUGAAAAAAUGAAAUCGGCGAUAGCUAUUAACGUCCAAAGUCUGAGGGAUCUGAUAAGUUUAUCCAAAGAAAUGAUGAAACUGAAGACAUUCGUCCACGUUUCCACGACUUUGCCAAUUGCACUCACGAUCUGAUGGAUGCGAAAUUUUAUGAUCCGAAUCUGGAUGCUGAACAGUUGAUCGAUCUAAUGAAUUCUUUAAACGAAAAGUUGCUCGACGACAUUACACCACAGUUAAUUGGAACAUAUUCGUAUACCUAUGUGUUCACGACAUCAAUUGCGGAG